GGGCUUGCAUCUGAUUAGCUAGUUGGUAGGGUAAUGGCCUACCAAGGCUAUGAUCGGUAGCUGGUCUGAGAGGAUGGUCAGCCAGAUGGGGACUGGGACACGGCCCCAACUCCUACGGGAGGCAGCAGCAAGGAAUCUUGGGCAAUGGGCGAAAGCCUGACCCAGCGACACCGCGUGAGGGAUGAAGGCCUUCGGGUUGUAAACCUCUUUUCUUGGGGAAGUGACGGUACCCAAGGAAUAAGCCUCGGCCAACUACGUGCCAGCAGCCGCGGUAAUACGUAGGAGGCGAACGUUAUUUGGAUUUACUGGGCGUAAAGGGAGCGUAGGCGGUUCCUUAAGUCAGAUGUGAAAUCUUCUGAUUCAAUCAGAAGGGGUCAUUUGAUACUGAGGGACUUGAGAACAGCAGAGGGAAAUGGAAUCCCCAGUGUAGCGGUGAAAUGCGUAGAU
rnacentral:rRNA from 1 species